UACGUAGGGGGCAAGCGUUGUCCGGAUUUAUUGGGCGUAAAGAGCUCGUAGGCGGUUUGUUGCGUCGGCUGUGAAAUCCCGAGGCUCAACCUCGGGUCUGCAGUCGAUACGAGCAAACUAGAGUGUUGCAGGGGAGACUGGAAUUCCUGGUGUAGCGGUGAAAUGCGCAGAUAUCAGGAGGAACACCGGUGGCGAAGGCGGCUACCUGGACAGAAACUGACGCUGAGGCACGAAAGCUAGGGGAGCAAACAGG
rnacentral:rRNA from 1 species